GAAGAAUGUAACCAAUCUAAGGGAGGCUCAGGGACCUUCGAGACGUCGAUGUGAUCUGUUCAAGAAUUGCAAAGGUGUGGUGACUACGAGGAAUUUCAACGGUGUUCUGACAGAAUGGACCAAAUGAGGACUCACCUUCGGGUGGUUCAUCUUAGAAGUUGUGUAUUUUAAAGCUUCCGAACUGUGUAAAUGGUUACGUCACUCUCACGUGACGGCCAGCAUGCCCUCCUUCGGGACGGGGUGUGUCAG